rnacentral:rRNA from 2 species
UUUAGAGUUUGAUCCUGGCUCAGGAUGAACGCUGGCGGCGUGCCUAAUACAUGCAAGUCGAGCGAACUGAUUAGAAGCUUGCUUCUAUGACGUUAGCGGCGGACGGGUGAGUAACACGUGGGCAACCUGCCUGUAAGACUGGGAUAACUUCGGGAAACCGAAGCUAAUACCGGAUAGGAUCUUCUCCUUCAUGGGAGAUGAUUGAAAGAUGGUUUCGGCUAUCACUUACAGAUGGGCCCGCGGUGCAUUAGCUAGUUGGUGAGGUAACGGCUCACCAAGGCAACGAUGCAUAGCCGACCUGAGAGGGUGAUCGGCCACACUGGGACUGAGACACGGCCCAGACUCCUACGGGAGGCAGCAGUAGGGAAUCUUCCGCAAUGGACGAAAGUCUGACGGAGCAACGCCGCGUGAGUGAUGAAGGCUUUCGGGUCGUAAAACUCUGUUGUUAGGGAAGGAAAAGUACGAGAGUAACUGCUCGUACCUGGACGGACCUAACCAGAAAGCCACGCA